CCUCUAGAGACCAGCCUGCCCAAUUCCGGGGCUCCCGGUGCGCUGAAAAUCAAAAUACCCGGAGCUGCCUGGGCAUCCUUCCCCAUCAAGCCCUCCCGUUUGGUAAUUCUGGUAAGGAUCCUGCCCGGCUCCAAUUUUAUAAUUGGACUAUAAUGGUCCCUUGAUAGGCGGCUGGAAAUUCAGCCCUCAUUCUGAAUAUAGCUUUUCGCCUUGUUAGAAACCUGCUUCGAUAUGUUUGACUGGUCCAGAGGGGUUCACGCAGGAAGAUGGGAAUUUAAAUAGGCACUAAGGAUGGACUAGUUCCCCCACGGUAACCGGAGAGAGAGCAAAGCGUCUGUCUCCCAUGCUGUUUGGAAACUUUGUUUGCUAAUAUUUCGGCUUCCUCUUGCACAACUGGAAGAAACGAAUCUUUGCAGACUCUGAAGGAGGCUGACUCUUCUCAGUUGGUGUCACUCUCGCUUGUACUGAAAGCAACUUCCAGCGGACUCUGGGCUUGCAAGAAAACCAUUACAUUAGAUUAAAGGGAUUCUUCCAGUGAGGAUCUCUACGAUUCAGUUCUGAUCCCAUCCUUCUUCUGGGGACAAAAUGUUUCCAUGCAGCCUCUUAAGAAAAAUUAUGGCCAUUUUGACCCACAGAGGGAAUUGAUCCUUGCUGCUCUUUCUUUUUAAAAAUCAUUUUUAAAAUUCCUGUUAAAUUAAGUUCAUUUUAUUCAGUAUGCUAUGUAUUUUUCUAGAUGUAUUUUCAGCAUUUCUAAGUGUUCAAGAACAGCUGAAUAAAUGCUUCAGACCCUGUUCUACUUACGAAAAAGGGGUGGGAGGGAAUUGUUGAGUAAAGUUCAGCAAGUGCUUUAUCGUAACAGCUCAAAUGGCAUGGGACCAUGGACCUCUACAGUCCUUGCUUGUCUAAUGGAGUCCCCUGAGACAUACAGUUCAAAGCUGUCCACUGCUAAUUGAUUAAAUUAAUCAGUACUACCAUUAAUAAUUAAAGAUAUAUUUGUAUA